GCCGAGCCAUUAGGCAACUGCCUCGCUCCUCCGCACCCCACGCUUUUCUUCCACGUGGAACGUUUAAAACGAACUAGGAGUGGCCUCCUUUAGCUCCCCGCUCGUACAUCCGCCAUGUACUCACUCACUCUUUAUCCCAUGCUGGUUGGGAAAUCUCUAUGAAGCUGACAGUAAUCUUCCUUUCCUGACUUAGCUUCCCAAGUACUGGAAUUGUAGGUGUGAGCCACCGCAGCCUGCUAACCCUCUUGCCUUUUAAAGCACAUCAUUUUUACUGUGACGAUGGACACUAGCGCUAUCUGUCUCUGGGCCACCAAGGACCUCUGAAGCCUUCUUGGUGACCUGGCUUAAUCUGGUGUUUUGUUUUGUUUUGCAUCCUGUGGUUUUCUAAUGGAUUUUCAGAACUUUUGCAACCUCUUAGCUAUUCAAGCUCCAUUUCUUAAAUUUUAAGAACUUAAACUGAGGGCUGGUAAGAUGGCUCAACAGUUAAAAGUGCUUGCCAGGCCUGCAGGUCAGAGAGGACGUCAGAUCUUAUUACAGAGAAUUGUGAGCCACCAUGUGGUUGCUGGGAAUUGAACUCAGGACCUCUGGAAGAGCAAGGAAUGCUCUUAUCUUCUGAGCCAUCUCUCCAGCCCCUCAGCCUGCUUUCUUAUAGAACCCAGGACCACCAGCCCAGGAGUGGCAUCACCCACAAUGGGCUGGGUCCUCCCAUAUCAGUCACUAAUUAAGAAAACACUUUACACCUGGUGGUGGUGGUGCACACCUUUAAUCGAAGCACUCAGGAAGCAGAGGCAAAUGGAUCUUUGUGAGUUCGAGGCCAUCCUGGUCUACAAAGAGCCCUCACCCAGUGGCUGAAGGAAGCAGAGACAGACAUCCACAGAUAUACACUGAGCCGAAAUCGGGAAUUUAGUUGAAGAGAGGGAGGAAUGAAGAAAGAAGGGGUCUGUACCAGGUUGGAGAAACCCACAGGAACAGUUGACCUGAACAAGGGAGAGCACAUUGACCCCAGAUGCUGUCCGGGAGGCCAGUACAAGACUGAUCCAGACCCCUGAACAUGGAUGUCAAUAAGGAGGCCUCUGCACUCCAGGGAGCCUCUGGUGGUGGAUUAGUAUUUUUCCCUGGUGCAAGAAGGGACUUUGAGAGCCCAUCCCACGUGAAGGGUUACACUCUGGCCCUGGACACAUGGGGAAGGGCCCAGGACCAGCACAGGAAGACUUGGUGGACUUUGCAGAGCCCCAGUUGAGGGCCCUACCCUGCCUGGGGAAUGGUGG
rnacentral:lncRNA from 1 species